rnacentral:rRNA from 1 species
GUAACACGUAGUCAACAUGCCCAGGGGACGUGGAUAACCUCGGGAAACUGAGGAUAAACCGCGAUAAGUCAUGAUUUCUGGAAUGAUUCAUGACUCAAAUCUACAUGGCCCCUGGAUUGGACUGCGGCCGAUCAGGCUGUUGGUGAGGUAAUGGCCCACCAAACCUAUUACCGGUACGGGCUCUGAGAGGAGGAGCCCGGAGAUGGGCACUGAGACAAGGGCCCAGGCCCUAUGGGGCGCAGCAGGCGCGAAACCUCUGCAAUAGGCGAAAGCUUGACAGGGUUACUCUGAGUGAUUUCCGCUAAGGAAAUCUUUUGGCACCUCUAAAAAUGGUGCAGAAUAAGGGGUGGGCAAGUCUGGUGUCAGCCGCCGCGGUAAUACCAGCACCCCGAGUGGUCGGGACGAUUAUUGGGCCUAAAGCAUCCGUAGCCGGUCCUGCAAGUCUUCCGUUAAAUCCACCUGCUUAAUCCAGGGGCUGAAUCAAAAUGCAACCGCAGGUC